rnacentral:lncRNA from 1 species
UGAUUUCUGGAAGGGUAGUUCCGACCUGAUUGCAGACACGAUUUCUAAAGAUCCGUCCGUCAGAUCAAUCUCCAUUUUGGAUAUGUUGUAGAUCUCCGCGUUAGCUUUCCAGCGGUAGGUCGUGGGUCUAGAGAGAACGUCGGGAUCUUAAGAUAUCAGCCUCCGACUGAUGACUGCGCAGGGAAGGACGGGCUGAUAAUCCAACGGGAUGGAGUUGUU